rnacentral:lncRNA from 1 species
UCCUAAUAUGCGCUCCCACCCCCUAACCCUCUAUCCUAAUCUGCGUACUCCACACCUUCAUAUCAAGGGUCAUGUCCUCUAUAAACUGUAACUGCUCUAUAUCAUGCCUAAUCAUCUCCCUCUAAUAUUUCACUUCUUCGGCCUACCUCUACAGUCUACCCCGCCUAAAAUCAUCCAUAGUCAAGGUCUCACACCUCCGCACUAGCUCAUCAAAACCCCUCCUCAUCACGUGCCCGAACCAACGUAGUCUCACUUCUCGCAUCUUGUCCUCCACCGAAAUAACUCACACCUUCUCCCGAAUAAUCUCAUUCCUCACCCUAUCUUUCCUGGUAUGGCCACAUAUUCACUACCCUAUCUUUCCUGGUAUGGCCACAUAUCCAUCACAACGUCCUCAUCUCCACCACCUUUAACUUUUAGAUGUGAGAGUUUAUAACUGAGCA